rnacentral:rRNA from 15 species
GAUCUGGCAGCCAUAGCGGCAGGUGUAAUCCUGUACCCAUCCCGAACACAGUAGAUAAGCCUGCCCGCGUUCCUUGCCUGUACUGAAGUGUGCGAGCUUCGGGAACUCUGGAUCGUGCCAUAUCAGU